rnacentral:lncRNA from 13 species
CACCUACUGAAUCAGAAACGGGACGCAAGCCGCCCAGUCUGAUUUAAAUACCCUUCCAGGCGAUUGUGAUGUGGGAAAAGUUCGAGAAUCAAUCCUCAACCCUAGAAACCCGAUAUUUUGCUUUUUCAAGAAAAUAAGGCCGGGGGCGGUGGCUCACGCCUGUAAUCCCAGCACUUUGGGCAACCAAGGCUAGCCUGACCUACAUGGAGAAACCUGUUCUCUACUAAUCCCAGCUACUAGGGAGACUGAGGCAGGAGAACCGCUUGACCCCGGGAGGUGGAGGUUGCAGUGCGCCCAGAUCGCCCGUUGCAUUCCGGCCCGAACAACAAGAGCAAAACUCCAUCUCAAAUAAAUGAAGGAAUGAAUGAAUGAAAAUAAACGUCCAGUCUUCCAGGAUGGAGGAAGGACAGUGUAUUCGAUACUAGUGCUCCUAGAACAGAUACUACAGACGGGGUGGCCGAGCCAACAGAAAUCACUUUCUCACAGUGCUGGAAACUAGAAGUCCGAGAUCAAGUCUUUACCUGGAAGCAUCGUAAGGCAGCGGUGACUCCCUGCGUGUGGAAAGCAAUCUGCUUCUGUCUUCGCCUCGCCAGCUCUCAGCUCAAGCCUUCCUUUCUCAUCGUGGCCUUUCUCUCUGCCAAUCAAAAGAUAAAGCACUCUAUUAGUAGUUUCUGAAGUACUAUAUUCCUGCCCUUGAUAGUUAACUAGUUGAAAUGUCACAGUAUUUUUUUAUAGUUUAAUGUAUUUUAAUAGCAAACUUAAAGGAACAGCACAAAAGACAGACAACAUUAGAAACGUGUUCUUGCAUGUAGGACAACUCAGAAAAGUGUAGUGACUGGAUGAAAUCUACUCUCUGAUAAAAUGCUACAAACACCAUUUAGUUGCCAUCAAUAAGAAAUUUACUUUUUUUUUUUUUUUUUUUUGGUUAGAGAUGGGGUCUCGCUAUGUUGCCCAGGCUGGAGUGUAGUGGCUAUUCACAGGCGAGAUCCCACUACUGAUUAGCACGGUAGGUUUCACCUGCUCCAUUUCCGACCUGGGCCGGUUCACCUCUCCUUAGGCAUCCUGGUGGUCC